ACUCUACAAACAUAUCCCAGCGACUGUGUCAUCACAUUACUCUACACCCAGCUCAUAAAGCCAUGAUUACACACUCCUCGGUCCUUAUCAGUCCUCGGCCGCGCUGCGCUGAUGUAAUGUGAAGCCUGUAACUCAAAUGCAAAUAUUCCAGGAGAAACAGACAGGUUGUGUUUGGGACAUUGACCUUAAGGUGAAGCCGUCUCCCGUUAUCAGACACAGACAGCGAUUCAUGUGGAAGGAUCAUUAAAAUAUGUUUGGUCUGUGCUGGUGUGACAGUCUUGGCAGCAGAGCAGUCUGUUUGCACUGCCAACAUGUAAUAACUGCUGUCAGCAGGACCAAACUUUAAUGUCAGUGUGUUGUGUUCCUACAUUCAACCUGUUGUCUUUGUAAACACUCACAUUGUGUGUGUAAAGUUAAAGCACCAGAGAGCUGUGGCUUUGGAAACCUCACUGUAAAUCACCAUCAAAUCAACUUCCUCCUCGCUAAGGAGAUUCCUUUUGAAGGUCAACCGUUCUUGUGGUAAGUCUGAAGGCCUUUGUGUUUGCUGUAAACCCCAGACUUGGACGUCAUGCAUCGACCAGACCGUGUGACAGUCAGUGAAGCAGCUGUGACGACCACUCAGACGCUGCCACGCUGAACUUUUCAUCUCUGCAGCCUUUAUUAAGCUCCUUUGUCUCUGUCAACAACUCUACCCAUAUGAUCUGGGAGCUGACACACUGUGGGUGGGAAUGAAACUCAAGGUGUGAGUGUGUGUUCAUGACAACACG